rnacentral:rRNA from 1 species
UACGUAGGGGCAAGCGUUAUCCGGAAUCAUUGGGCGUAAAGCGCGUGUAGGCGGUUCCGUAAGUCCGCUCUGAAAGCCCAGGGCUCAACCCUGGGAGGCGGGUGGAUACUACGGAACUGGAGUACGGAAGAGGAGAUUGGAAUUCCUGGUGUAGCGGUGAAAUGCGCAGAUAUCAGGAGGAACACCAACAGCGAAGGCAGAUCUCUGGGACGUUACUGACGCUGAGACGCGAAAGCGUGGGGAGCAAACAGG